ACGUGAACUUUAGAAGGGGCGAAGCUGCCUUUUUUUUUCCUGCCGCUGAGAAUGGUUCCCUUUCCCUAGUUCUCAGAGGCAUGCAUUCGGAUUUCCUCGGGACUACUGUGGCCUGAGUAGGGAAUGCAGCACGCGGGAGACCAGUCGAUAGCGAAGGAUUAAAGCUUGGGCAACCUUGCCGAGGGUCUGAUGUAGCAGCAGCUCUGUCGCGGCACCCACGUGACCUUUGGACUGGCCCUUUAACUGUUGAUAAUAAUAGCUAUCUUUACUAUGGCGCCUCCUAUGUACUAGGCACUGUGCUAAACGCUUUACAAUUUUAUUUGCUCUUUCCAACAACCCUGCAAGAGAGCCAUUCAUUCCACUGGAAACAGUAUUUCUUAAGAGAAGAAAUUAAAUCAGUACAACUGAUCAACACACUGUCCAAAAACAUGUUAUGGUUAACAUCUGUGGAUCUAUCGUCUCCACAAAGAGAAUUUUGCAGAAGUAUAAAGAAAAAGCAUGGCUUCAAAAGAAAAAAGAUGACAGGACAAAUUAACUCCAUUUCUUGACAAAGGUGAGAAGGCCACAAGAAUUGCAUAUAUUUUCAGAAUUUUUGAAGGUCAUUGUGUUUGUCUGUGCUUGUUUUUUUUUGUCUUUUAAAAAUACUACUUGUUACAAAAUAUGGUUCACUAGGUUAGGAGCUCAGAGGAAAAUAGAUUGUUAUGGUAAUGUAAAAAAACAAAAUUGGGAGCAAAAAAACAUUUAAGAAAUAAAAAUGUUGAUAAAGGGAUUUCUUACUCACUAUGGACCUUUAGACUCCGAUAAAAGUUAUUUCUUCUGGUUUUGUAAUGAUCUUAAAUUUUUUAUCUUUUUCUUUAUUGAUUUGACUUUCUGCUUUUUCUUCUAUUUUACUUUCAGAUUAGUGAAAGGGUUUGCCAAUUUUGUUUGUCUUUUCAAAUAAACAGUUUUUAAUUUGAUCACUUUUUAGUUUUUUUACCUCUUUUGUAAUUCUCAAGAUUUCUUCUUACUUUGACUUGCUAAUUUAAAAAAAAAUGCAUGUCCUUUUCCAUUUUGCUAGUGUACUUUGAAAAUUUAUUGAACUAAAUAUAAUAAGAAAAAACAGAAUAGAAAAAAGGCAGAAAAGGAAAAUAAAAAAACAAAACAUUGUCAUGUGCCCAACAGAAUAUCAGGGAAGAUUCAAAAUAUAUAACAAUAAGUUUCCAUUUCAAAAAAUAUAUAUAUAUUACAAUAGGAAACAUUAUAUUCACGAGUGUUCAUCUUUGCUUUCUUGUAGAUUAUUCUUUUGAUCUCUGCUGAGCAUUUUUUACUUUGUUCUUAUUAAGAGAGGAAGGGAGUUUUAUUGCAGAUUUUGUUGUUUUUGCUUUGUCUGAUAUCUUUAAUGGAUGUGCAGGAAGACGAAUUCUUCACCAAAUAAGGAAUAAAGUAAAUUAUAAAAGAGCAAACAGAUAAUCUUUAUUUCAAGAAUAUUGAAAAGCCUUUGCAUAAACAAAAUAUAUACAGGAUAGAAGGGAAAUAUUUAAAUAUUUAAAAAAAUCUUUCCAACAAAUUUCUCAGAUAAUGAUU